rnacentral:rRNA from 1 species
CCUACGGGAGGCAGCAGUGAGGAAUAUUGGUCAAUGGGCGGGAGCCUGAACCAGCCAAGCCGCGUGAGGGAAGAAGGUACAGCGUAUCGUAAACCUCUUUUGUCAGGGAACAAAGGCGGGGACUAGUCCCCGGAUGAGGGUACCUGAAGAAAAAGCAUCGGCUAACUCCGUGCCAGCAGCCGCGGUAAUACGGAGGAUGCGAGCGUUAUCCGGAUGUAUUGGGUUUAAAGGGUGCGCAGGCGGCCGGUUAAGUCAGCGGUAAAAGCCCGGGGCUAAACCCCGGCGAGCCGUUGAAACUGGCGGGCGGGAGUUGGAGAGAAGUACGCGGAAUGCGCGGUGUAGCGGUGAAAUGCUUAGAUAUCGCGCAGAACCCCGAUUGCGAAGGCAGCGUACCGGCUCCACACUGACGCUGAGGCACGAAAGCGUGGGUAUCGAACAGGAUUAGAUACCCUGGUAGUC